rfam:Cephalotus follicularis DNA, scaffold: scaffold3078, isolate: St1.
UUAUAAGAUUGACAAAGAUGAUUUAAUGGAUAGGUUAUUGUAAAAACUCCAUAGUUAAGCGUGCUUGGGCGAGAGUAGUACUAGGAUGGGUGACCUCCUGGGAAGUUAGUCUUUUAUAAA